rnacentral:rRNA from 1 species
UAAGCAAGGGCGCAUGGCGGAUGCCUUGGCUCUCGGAGGCGAUGAAGGACGUGAUAAGCUGCGAUAAGCUUCGGGUAGGUGCAAAUAACCUUUGAUCCGGAGAUUUCCGAAUGGGACAACCCGAUUAGUUGAAGACUGAUCAUUCCGCAUAGCGGAAGGCUAACGCAGGGAACUGAAACAUCUUAGUACCUGUAGGAAAAGAAAAUAAAUAAUGAUUCCCCUAGUAGUGGCGAGCGAACGGGGAAUAGCCCAAACCAUUUAUGUUACGGCAUAACUGGGGUUGUAGGACCACGUUGUGGCAUGAAAGUUGGUGAGCAGAAUGUUCUGGAAAGUACAGCCAUAGAGCAUGAUAGCUGCGUAUGCGAAGCCAACCGAAGUCUAGUGGUAUCCUGAGUAGCGCGGAGCACGAGGAAUUCUGCGUGAAUCUGCCGGGACCAUCCGGUAAGAAGGCUAAAUACUCCCGAGAGACCGAUAGUGAACCAGUACUGUGAAGGAAAGGUGAAAAGCACUUCGAACAGAAGAGUGAAAUAGUUCCUGAAACCAUGCGCCUACAAGCGGUCGGAGCCCUUUAGGGUGACGGCGUGCCUUUUGCAUAAUGAACCUACGAGUUACUUUUUCCGGCAAGGUUAAGAAUCUCAGAUUUGCAGCCGAAGCGAAAGCGAGUCUUAAUAGGGCGUAUAGUCGGAAGGAGUAGACGCGAAACCAAGUGAUCUACCCUUGAGCAGGUUGAAGGAUGGGUAACACCAUCUGGAGGACCGAACCAAUAAGCGUUGAAAAGCUUCUGGAUGACUUGAGGGUGGGGGUGAAAGGCUAAUCAAACUUGGAGAUAGCUCGUACUCCCCGAAAUGCAUUUAGGUGCAGCCUUGACUUAUACUGACAUGAGGUAGAGCGACUGAUAAGAUGCGAGGGCUUCACCGCCUAUCAAGUCUUGACAAACUCCAGCUAGGAUGUUGGCUUGGAAGCAGCCAUUCAUUUAAAGAGUGCGUAACAGCUCACUAGUCGAGGAGUUUGGCGUGGAUAAUAAUCGGGCAUUAAGUAUUCUACCGAAGCUUUGGGAUGAGUAAUCAUCGGUAGGGGAGCAUUCCACUCAGCGUUGAAGGUGAAGCGUGAGCUUUGCUGGAGCGUGUGGAAAAGCAAAUGUAGGUAUAAGUAACGAUAGAUAAAGGGGGUGAGAAACCCCCUCGCCGAAAGACUAAGGUUUCCUGAUCAACGCUAAUCGGAUCAGGGUUAGUCGGGUCCUAAGGCUCAGCCGAACGGCGAGGCCGAUGGCAGAACCGGUUAAUAUUCCGGUACUACCUUCAGGAGUGACGUGGAGACGGAGCAGUGAUAAUGCCGCCGACUGACGGAAUAGUCGGUUAAAGGGUGUAGAUGUUGAUUUCUGUAGGCAAAUCCGCAGAGAGAGUCGAACCUGAUAGUACGGAGCGUUCUUCGAACAAUCCGAUAGUGCAUGUAAGCAUACUCCCGAGAAAAUCCGCUAAACUUAAUCCUGACGGUACCCGUACCGUAAACGGACACACGUAGUCGGGUUGAAUAUACUAAGGCGCUUGAGUGAUUCACGGUUAAGGAACUAGGCAAACUGACCCUGUAACUUCGGGAUAAAGGGUCCUCAGGGUAACUUGAGGCGCAGAGAAUAGGUCCAGGCAACUGUUUAACAAAAACACAGGGCUGUGCAAAAUAGAAAUAUGAAGUAUACAGCCUGACACCUGCCCGGUGCUGGAAGGUUAAGAGGAGAUGUCAUCGCAAGAGAAGCAUUGAAUUGAAGCCCCAGUAAACGGCGGCCGNNNNNNNNNNNNNNNNNNNNNNNNNNNNNNNNNNNNNNNNNNNNNNNNNNNNNNNNNNNNNNNNNUUACCCGCGAUGGGACGAAAAGACCCCGUGAACCUUUACUAUAGCUUAACAUUGAAUUUGGGUAAUUGAUGUGUAGGAUAGGCCGGAGGCUUUGAAGCAGGUACGCCAGUAUUUGUGGAGCCGCUGUUGAAAUACGGCCCUUUGAUUAUUUGAGUUCUAACUCUUUGAUGAGAGGACACUGUUUGGUGGGUAGUUUGACUGGGGUGGUCGCCUCCAAAAGCGUAACGGAGGCUUCUAAAGGUGCCCUCACGACGAUUGGUAACCGUCGGUAGAGUGUAAUGGCAUAAGGGCGCUUGACUGGGAGACUCACAAGUCGAUCAGGUAGGAAACUAGAGCAUAGUGAUCCGGUGUUUCUGUAUGGAAAGGACAUCGCUCAAAGGAUAAAAGGUACUCCGGGGAUAACAGGC